CAGCAGCCACGGGAAUACGUAGGUGGCAAGCGUUGUCCGGAAUUAUUGGGCGUAAAGGGCGCGCAGGCGGCUUCUUAAGUCUGUCUUAAAAGUGCGGGGCUUAACCCCGUGAUGGGAUGGAAACUGGGAAGCUCAGAGUAUCGGAGAGGAAAGCGGAAUUCCUAGUGUAGCGGUGAAAUGCGUAGAUAUUAGGAGGAACACCAGUGGCGAAAGCGGCUUUCUGGACGAAAACUGACGCUGAGGCGCGAAAGCCAGGGGAGCGAACGGGAUUAGAUACCCCUGUAGUCCCUGUCUCUUAUCA
rnacentral:rRNA from 1 species